GUUUGAAACAAUUCAUGAAUGCUUGGGCAGAAAUGGCUCGAGGAGCACAUCAACCUUCCAUUCAACCUAUUUGGCAUAGAGAGCUUUUAAUGGCAAGAAUCCCACCACGCGUUACAUGCAACCAUCGUGAAUUCGAACAAAUUAUACUUCCUCCAAAUACCAUCAAGAAAGAAGAUACUAUUGGUACCAUAGUCCAUCAAUCUUUCUUAUUUACACGUGCUCACGUAGCUGCACUUCGUUGUUUGGUUCCACUUCAUCUUCGUCAAUGCACUGCAUUCGAUCUUAUCACUGCAUGCUUUUGGUGUUGUCGCACAAAAGCAUUGCAGUUAGAGCCAGAGGACGAAGUACGAAUGAUGUGUGCUGUUAAUGCACGUUCUAGGUUGAGUGCUAACCAUUCGUCACUUGUUGGAUAUUAUGGUAACUGUUUUGCUUUCCCAGCAGCUGUUACUAGUGUUGGAAAGCUAAUUUGUGGAAACCCAUUAGGUUAUGCGGUGGAAUUGAUAAAAAAAGCAAAAGGCCAAGUUACUGAAGAAUACAUGCAUUCUUUGGCGGAUCUUAUGGUUAUUAAAGAAAGACAUGUAGAUACAACCAUAAGGUCUUGUGUUGUAUCAGACAUGAUCCGUGCUAAGUACACAAAUGUGAAUUUUGGGUGGGGCGAUGCUGUGUAUGGCGGAGUGGUAAAAGGCGGGGCUGGACCGUUUCCUGGAGCAACGUUUAUAGUUUCACAUAAGAAUGCAAAAGAAGAAGAAGGUUUAAUAUUACUAACUUACUUGCCCUAUGAAGAUAUGAAAAGGUUUGCUGAAGAGUUAGAUAAGAUGUUUGGUAACCAAAAUCAACCUACAACGAUUGGUCCUAGUUUUGUGAUGUCUACUUUAUAAUUCGGAGACGUUCCCAUAUUAGAUUAGUAAAUCACAUUUAUGUAGUAAAUACUCAAAUGUGAUUGAAGUUAAAUAAAGUUGUGGGCUUAUAAUUAUUGGCAUGUCUAAGUCAGGAAUUGAACCAAAGACUUUGGUUAAUUUAGAAGAGACUCGCGUAAUCUCAUCCAAACGCUUUUGGGUAUUAUUGUUAAAUUUUAAGCACAAACCCUAUAUAUAGUCCAAAAAGUUUGUGAUCAAAGUUUAAAGGGUCUAUGCUCUUUUAUUUUUAAACUAAAAUAUUCUCCACGUUCAAUUGAAGAAAUUAAUCCUUCGAAAUAAUUGAGUUAUAUUUAAAAAGUUGAUAUAUUCUAAUAAAUAUUUGGCUUAAAUGCAGUUUUACCCCCCUAUUUUGAAAAAUGCGGAAUUUCACCCCCCUAUUUUAAAAUGCGGAAUUUUACCCCCCCUAUUUUAUAAUUUGUUGGAUUUUUUUGCACAAAAUCUGCUUCUGAGCCUCAAGUUUAAAGCUUCGCACAGAACUCAAUUUGGAUCAAUAAUUAACAAAACUGAUACCGAAACGACCGUAAUCGAGUUAUCUUUCCACAGAAUCAAACCCCACUAAAUUUGGAGUUACAGAGAGAGAUUAAUUACCGUUUUAGUGAAAGUCUGUUCAAAUUAAUUAUUGUAUGAAACUACUACUGAUAUUUUCGUCAUGCCUCUCACCCUAUAGCUCAUUUUUUAAUACUAUUUAUAUGUAUGGAAAGCUAACGAAAUUACCCUUGUUGGAAUUUCAAUUUCGUCGAAUUUGGAGUUACGAUGCAUUCGGUAGACGAUGUUGAAUUUGAAGAUCACAAGUAAAAUUUGAGAUGCAUUCGGUAAGAUUAUUUUACAUUAAUGUCAACUAAUAUCAGCUAUAUUUUUGCUAUGUCAUCUCUUUAACACCACUAGAGACAUUAACAGGACUCAUAUUACAAUUAUUUUAGAGGGAUCGAGACUCAAAAUGUAUCGGCCCAUUGAGUACGUUAUUAUGAGAUGACCACACGUUUCUAUCCAACAGUCACGAAAGACAACCUUCUAUAGCGGCCGAUAUCAAAAUGAUUAACUUUUAAUACUAAUCAUUGUAUUCUAGCUGUUAUUGUUAUUCUGACAACCAUCAAUGUCGGAGUGAUCACAUUCACCUUCACAUUGAUAAUUGUGGCACUGCGUUGCACACCUAUACAUACACACGCAAAAGAUUCAAGUAUUCAAUCUUCUCUUUAUAAAAAUCUCUUACUUCACGUCCUUAAUUACUGCCGUUGGAGUAACAUUCCUAUUUUCUACACAACUCUACAAAAACAGUUAACCUCCUAAUUUUACACCUCCACUAAUAUACAGUAUAUUUAUAUGACCACGUUCUUCCCUCCUACCAUGUUUCAUAUAUAGGGGACCAAUUAUUUACUGGUCCAUUCUGCACGAUAAUACGACCACUUGUUUUGUUUGAAUUUGUAAGGGGGCGUGUAUUCCUUAUUUGACAUUGUAUGUUUGAAUUUUUGGUUUAUCUUAUGCUAAUUUAUGUCAAAUAACUGAUUAUCCCAAAAGUUUAAGCUGGUAGGAUAGGACCACAUCAAUGGUUUUAUAUUAUUUCUAACACGCCCCCUCACGCAAGAGCCCACUUGGGCUUGAAGCGUGGAUAAUGCAUAGGCCCACCUACCAUAUGCUUAAAUACCACUUUUUAAUUAGAAAGUGAGGGGAGCGAGGAUCGAACUCUAGACCACUUAGUCAUAGAGGCUCUGAUACCAUGUCAAAUAACCGAUUAUCCCAAAAGCUUAAGUUGUUAGGAUAGGGCCACAUCAAUGGUUUUAUAUUAUUUCUAACAAUUUAUUUUGCCUUUUUUAAAAAAAAAAACAAAAAAAACGUGUAUUCGUUAGGUUUGGUGUAAACUAAAUAUUUAUGUGCGCAACUGCAGAGACAUGAUUCCUCAGAUCUUGUGGGAACUAAGUGGGUGGCAAACACUCCAUAAGAAUUUUAAUAUUGUUGUAUGCUCAUGCCAGAGAUCGAACUCAAGACAUUGGUUAAGCUUGAACUCGAGUUCUCCUGAACGAUUCGUCAUAGGGAAACUAGCUCAUUAACCACUUGAGCCAAUAAUAUCUUGGUUUCGUGUGUUAGUUUUGACGAUAAAAUCAGUUUUUAUAAAAAAUAGAAUUGAACUCCUAAGAUUUCAAUUGUAGAGAGUAUAAAAAAUGAGUUAUUUCCUUUCAACCGAAUUAUUUAUAUAUAUAAACUAAAAAUUGAACUCCUAACCAUUUGCUAGACUCUUACGUAUCAAUUUAGGUGUCAUUUUCAAAAACUUCAUUUAUAAACUAAGACAAUCAAUGUACAACAACUCACUCAAACUAAACACAACACUAAUGAGUUCAUCAUCAAUGUUCAACUUUAGAGUGCAUAGGUGCCAACCAGAAUNNNNNNNNNNNNNNNNNNNNNNNNNNNNNNNNNNNNNNNCAUCAUCAAUGUUCAACUUCAGAGUGCAUAGGUGCCAACCAGAAUUGGUGCAACCAGCUGCACCUACUCCUCAUGAAAUAAAACUACUAUCUGACAUAGAUAAUCAAGAAUGUUUGCGUUUUUAUUUUCCUAUGAUAUUUAUGUAUCAUCAUGAACCAUCAAUGACAAAGAAAGAUCCUGUUAAAGUUCUUAGACAUGCACUAUCUCAAACACUUGUUUAUUACUAUCCAUUUGCAGGAAGGAUUAGGGAGGGAGCUGGAGGCAAGUUGAUGGUGGAUUGUAAUGGUGAAGGUGUCAUGUUCAUUGAAGCUGAAGCUGAUACAACACUUGAUCAAUUUGGUGACUCUCUGCAUCCUCCAUUCCCUUGGUUUCAACAACUCUUAGAUGAUGAUGUUCAUGGAACCCAACAAAUUAUUGAUCAUCCCAUUUUACUCAUGCAGGUCUAAUUAUUAUGUUAUAAUUAUUCGCUUAUAUUAUUUAUUUACGUAAAUUUUGUUCGGUAAGCUUAAAAAUAAACCAAUCGAAUCCUAAUUAAUGAUGAUUACAAUUUUAACAAGUUUUUCAACCUCUAUUUUGAUUAGUAAGGCUGUCAAAUACAAAUUUAUUAUUUUUACAAGAAAUAAUAAUGGGUUUUGAGAGAGGUCCAUAUAAAAUAACUUAAUUAUGUUGAUUAAGUUAUCUUAAAGUUAAAAUAUUAUAGGCCUCACUUUUAACUUAAUUGCCAUUUUUUUGUAUGAAAUUGUGACUCAAACAAUAUUACAUACCUCACUCUUAUUUUGAAAAUAGAUUAAAAGACAUCACAACAAAAUUCACUUCCUCUUAUUUUGACACGAAAAAUCUAUGAAGUAUGAACAUUUUUCGGAAUAGGUGUGCCCUAGUGUCCGACACGAUACUAACAGUUAUGAUUACAUUGAAUUUAUGAUAUUUUUUAUUAUCAAUGCCGAUGUGUUGGUGUUCGUGUUUGUGUUUGUGUUUCAUAGCGAAAACUUGGUCCCAAAGAGAGACAGGAAAUGCUAAUCUCUCCCUAAACAAUAUACUAGCCUUUUAUCUUCUUCACCCUACACAAUAUCCAAGGCUAUUUAAAUGCUUUCUUGAUGUCUCUCUUUUUAGGCUUGGUUGUAGGUGUUUUGUUUGUUGGAAUUUUUUUUAGUACGUCUUUUUGGUGUAGCAUUAUCCAGGAGUUUUUCACUUUUUCUAUUCCCUUUGUGGAAUAGGUGUUUGUUCUUAGUAUGUGUUUUGCGGAUUUAUUUUCUUGUUAUUGUAAACUCUCUAUUUUUCUUAUCGGCUAUCCUUUUAGAUAACUGUUUCAAUAAAUCUUUAAUUAUCGAAGAAAAAAUCUUCUUCACGUUUUCAUUGAAGAAAGCAUAAUUAAUUGAUAAUUGUGAUAAUUUUUUUUGAAUUAUGAUAAUUAUAAUUAAGAAUUUUUAUUAGCUUUGUAUUUUAUGAUUUCAGUUUUUAAAAUAUAAUUAAAAUGACAGGUGACACGUCUCAAGUGUGGUGGUUUCAUAGUGUCCUUAAAUAUAAACCAUACAAUUAGUGAUGCAACUGGUUUGAAACAAUUCAUGAAUGCUUGGGCAGAAAUGGCUCGAGGAGCACAUCAACCUUCAAUUCAACCUAUUUGGCAUAGAGAGCUCCUAAUGGCAAGAAACCCACCACACGUUACAUGCAACCAUCGUGAAUUCGAACAAAUUAUACUUCCUCCAAACACCGUCAAGAAAGAAGAUGCUACUACCAUAGUCCAUCAAUCUUU
rnacentral:lncRNA from 1 species